AACAAACAAAAUUGUGGACAGGCCUAAAUAAGGACAACUAUAGACACGCAAGUUGCCGCUGUCCCCUUGCUUCAAGUAGCUAUUAUAUUAACCCACAUUUCUAAAGCCAAAGAACAUUUUUAAGGUUUCACACUGAUGCAAACAUAGAAUGAUCACGAGCACCUGCACAAAUUUACAGCUUUUAAUGGAGCAGGUGACAGGCCAGCAAAGAAAUUGUGGAAACUGAAAGAGGCGAGUCUUAAUAUCUGCGAUGGACAUUGUCAUUACUUAGGGUGGGAGACGCUGAAAUGAAAUCUACGGAUCCUUUCCUGGCGGGACAAUGAGCUGCCCAAUGGAAUUGUAACCCUCUCCUAAUCUCCGCGGCAGAAACCAUGCUAAUAAGGGGCUCUCUCGCCCAAAGCUGUCACCUUGGAGCGCCACCUUGCCGCUGAAAGGCAAACUGCAAGUCCAGAAGAUCUUAGUGCUGGUGCUGUUUGCAACUCUCUCUCUCUCUCUCUCUCUCUCUCUCUCUCUCUCUCUCUCUCUCUCUCUCUCUCUCUCUCUCUCUCUCUCUCUCUCAUAAUCAAAGAGACCUAAUAGAAUCGGACACUUGAAAGUGCCCCUUUCGCUCGGAGUUGAAGAGACAUUGUAUCUUUCCUGGCUAUCUCCUGUAGUAUCAGAAUGUGUGGGUGUAUGUGUGAAGAA